UGGACAAYGGCGCAAGCCUGAUCCAGCCAUACCGCGUGGGUGAAGAAGGCUUCGGGUUGUAAAGCCCUUUUGUUGGGAAAGAAAUCCAGCUGGCUAAUACCCGGUUGGGAUGACGGUACCCAAAGAAUAAGCACCGGCUAACUUCGUGCCAGCAGCCGCGGUAAUACGAAGGGUGCAAGCGUUACUCGGAAUUACUGGGCGUAAAGCGUGCGUAGGUGGUCGUUUAAGUCCGUUGUGAAAGCCCUAGGCUCAACCUGGGAACUGCAGUGGAUACUGGGCGACUAGAGUGUGGUAGAGGGUAGCGGAAUUCCUGGUGUAGCAGUGAAAUGCGUAGAGAUCAGGAGGAACAUCCAUGGCGAAGGCAGCUACCUGGACCAABACUGACACUGAGGCACGAAAGCGUGGGGAGCAAACAGGAUUAGAUACCCUGGUAGUCCACGCCCUAAACGAUGCGAACUGGAUGUUGGGUGYAAUUUGGCACGCAGUAUCGAAGUAACGCGUUAAGUUCGCCG
rnacentral:rRNA from 1 species